AAUGUAUUCUGGCAUUUUCUGCCUUGUGUGGACAUGCCUUUUGAAGAAGUUGUGCACAAUAUGUGAAAUUUUAUUUUUUUGAAUCAUGUUUUUUUUCUGUAUGCUGUCAACAAAUAAAUGAAGAAUAAAUACUUGGAUAAUAAUACUUGGAAUAAAUUGUGUUCUUUUCUGACUUCUUAAAUACUCAAUCCUCAUAUUUUGAGCUCUGCUCAGCCCUCACUAAUGUGGUGGGCCAUUCACAUUAUUCCGACUAAAUGACAUAAAUGAGCGUGAAAGCACUUCAGUGGGG